rnacentral:rRNA from 1 species
GUUACAAUGGCAGGUACAGAGGGGUGCUACCGGGUGACCGGAUGCCGAUCUCGAAAACCUGUCCCAGUUCGGACUGGAGUCUGCAACCCGACUCCACGAAGUUGGAUUCGCUAGUAAUCGCGCAUCAGCCAUGGCGCGGUGAAUACGUUCCCGGGCCUUGUACACACCGCCCGUCAAGCCAUGGGAGCCGGGGGCGCCUGAAGUCCGGGACCGCGAGGACCGGCCUAAGGCGAAACUGGUGACUGGGGCUAAGUCGUAACAAGGUAAC